rnacentral:lncRNA from 1 species
UGAAAAGCCAUGGUAUAACUGCAAAGGCCUUUAGAUUCCUGAGGUUCUUCACCAGGAGGUAAAGAGCAAUGCUGAUGGGCCUUGUCCACGUGUCCAGGCCUGCUCACCUGCACAAGCAUAAGACAUUUGGUAAGUAUAGACAGAGCUUGUAGAAAGACCUUGCAAGCCUGGAGGCUGAAAUAAACAC